rnacentral:lncRNA from 1 species
CAAAGGAAUUUUUUUUUAAAAUGUUAUAAGAGAAAUGUUCUUGUACACUCGGAGGAAACACAACUUAUAAAGGAAACACAAGUUCCUUUACUAUGCAGCACGUUGGUGACCAUGAAUCUGUUGCCUUUCUUCCACGCGCAUCCUCAACCAUCACACAACCAACAAAGAAAGUAAAAUUAAAAGCUUUUCUCUGUAAAAAAAUAAACGAAAACUAAAACCACAACAAUACAAAUGUGGACUAUGUUUCUAUCUAACAAUACGAUAACAAAAACAAUAAUCUCAUCAUCAUCACUUGUUCCAAUACCAAAGACUCCAUUUUUUAAACAGUCUAGCGAAGCUUAACCAUCAACACAAGUUAGAAUCAACCAAAAGAAACAAUAAUCUCAUGAUCAUUACUUGUUAAAUUCAACCAAACCAACUCUGUUUCAAUGCAAAAGACUCCAUUUUUUCAACUGUCUAACGAAGUUUAACCAUCAUCAGUAGUUCAAAUCAACCAAGGAUCCCAUCAUCAUCAUCAUGCAAAAGACUCCAUUUUUUUAAUGAUUCGCAAGUUAUUUUUACAAGAUUCACAACAUGCAAAAGAUUCACUAAAUCAUCAUCUUCAAAAUUAAUUUUACAAGUUAUUUUCCUAUAGAGAAAGGGAUUUUCGUACUUAUCUCGCCGCUUGUAUGACUUUGAUCCUUUCAUGGAUCCUUGGUUUCUCUUGAAGCUGAUUCCUGUGAAGAACUUUCUUCUAUCUUCUGAUCUUCAUCAUCGCCUCAGCGCAUGGGAAAGAAACGAUGGAGAGAUGGAGAGACGGAG